GGAUGUUGUUAUCACCGGAUUACAGAAGGUACGAACAUACAUUGAAAGCGGAGCUGUCAGCCAAAGGUAUCACAGAGGCGAAUAUAGACCAGACGGAGGAGCUUUACGAGACCGUGACUGUUGGCGGUACAACACGCUAAGCGUUUAAAUUUUCCAUACGAAGACCAAUAGAAGCAGUAUUCUGAAGUGUUUUGCUGGAUAAAGUAGAACAUAAAUUAACUGUGCAUACGAUGUUAAUCAUAUUACAUCAGCAAUUUCGACGACAUUUUGUUCAUACAAUAGUUUUAUAAGUUUGAAUGUGGUAUGUCAAGCUAAUAAAUUUUAAUGAAAUGUUGAUGCACUAUGUGUGAAACAUGAUUUGAAUUGUUUCUUAAAUACCUAUAAUUAUAAAUAUGUGGAAAAACUGAUAGCUCAUAUCCGUACAUUUCACUAAAAACCUCGGGCGAUUUUGCUUACUGACAUCAUGACUUUGCGUACUAAUUUCAGAUCUAGUUGAUGUAAAAUAAUUCCUCAAAAAGUGCUUUUGUGGCGAUUGUUUUUAUUUUCAUUUUAAGUUAAUGUCUUGAGUACUUAUGUAUCUAAUUGUGCCUUAUAAAAUACAUUUUGUGAUUUAAUCAACUAAACAAUAUCAUAAAUAAGAAGUGGCGCGUUGUAGCGCUUGACUUUUUUGGAAGGGGGUACAAAAUCAACUGUUUCCAGCAUGGUAAAUUCACCGUAAAUGCCUUUCCAGUGUGCACGAAUUCGUUUUUAAGUUGUUCACUGAACAUUUGUUUCCAUUUUAGUAUGUGUACCACAAUACAUUAUGUUAAUAAACAAUCUCGCCUCCAUGAUAAGUAAUAUGUUUGGUGGUAAUUCUGGUUUUUUUUUAUUGUUUUGUUCGCUAAUAGUUCGUCUUUGAUAAACCCUAUAUAAUUCGUAUGCAAAUAACAUGUAAAAAUUGUCUAUGGGCUAUGUGCCUGUUUAUUGCAAUAUUUUCAUUUUAAUAUUUAUUCAUGCUUACAAUCAUGAAAAACAAUACUAUGAUAUAUUUACCAGUGUAUAAGAUUUGAAUACGCACAACAUCACAUGAAUGUAUGAAAUGCCAUGUUUACAUAUACUGGUUAGCGACCACUUUUCGGCCGGAAAUGGAGAUUUUACCUUCGUUACUUUUGACACAAGAUAGAUAUUACGAUAAAAUUUUACACUCAGACAGGUUGGCUCUUCAGCCAAAACUGUGUAUUUUGUUUUAAAAAAAGGGAUUCCGAAUAUUCCAACGUUCAAAGUACCCCUAUAAUUUCGCUAAAAUAAACACCCUACUGUACCAAUUAUUCGCCCACCCCAUAAAUUCGCUGUUCUUACGAUGCUUUUCGUAUAUUUCUUUCUUAACUAUAUCUUCAAACAUUUUUAUAUUAUUUUACCAGUCUAGCGACCGUUUAAAACGACAAUUGGUCAAUAAAUAUAAUAUGUUAACUAUUACAUACUGUGUAUGUAUGUUUAAAAUGAUUAACAAUUACUCGGUAAGCCACCUCUUCAGAAAAUUUGAAAAGCUAUCGGGAUUCCUUCUUAAAACAUGACUUACAUUAUGUAUGCUUAUGUAUGCUUAUCUUUAGACUUCCGAAGAGGGACAACGCAUGUCCGUACAAGAAUGUAAUGAUUAAUUCAGAUUUAAGUUGCUUCCCUUAGACGAAAAAUUUGGCAAUUACUUAACCGUUUUCAGGUUUUACCAUUUGCUUUUUCGAAAAUUGAACGUAAAAUACAGCAAUUUUUGUUAUUUGUAUAAUUCAACACCGGUUUUAUAAUUUAUAAUGACAAAUUCAUAAUGUCGUCUGAUAGUGCAAGGUAUAAUACAAAUUAAAAAAUCCUUACAGGGCCUCAUGCAAAUGAGCGCGCGCGUGAUGACGUCAUCCCCGCGUGCAACUUACAAGGUCAAGUGUAAACAAUGUUUAUUUGGGUCGAAUUCCACAUGCUUCUAACAUUUGAACGCAAAAAAAACAGCUGAUAUCUAUAAAAAUGAUACCGCAACGAAAUGCCAGACUGAUUUGUGUAACAUAUUUCGUUUUGACUGGUUUUAACUUGAUGGGCGAAAAAGUGGUACGGGCGAAUAAUAGGUCGCUAACCAGUAUAUCAUAGUGUAAGCAUCUUUUUUAUGCUCGGUGAGAGCAAGAGGUGACUUUGUGUUUUGGCCAAAUUUUUAAUCCUAGACCACAAAGAUCUCGAACGUCUUUUGUUAGUUUGCUUUAUUAACGGUAGUACUCCUGUGUAGAAGGUGCCGCUUCAAUGCCCGACCGAGUCAUCCAAAUUAUGUUAACGUAUUUGGCACCUUAACUCCUUUUACAAAAUAUGUAUCAUUGGGAUAGAGUUUUUGUGAGGCUUUGCGUGUAUAAAAAAGGCUUACAAGCGCAGUGAUCUCGUAUUUAACUAUCAGUUCCAAUUUGGUUACCCCAACAUGUAUUAAUACAGCUUUUAAUGCAUAUAUCGUCAAACUGUGUUGUAUGUACGUGCUGGGUAAUCAUAUGGUGUAUUUUGGGCCCUAACUGUUCGCCUCUUAAGACUGUUAUUGAUUAACUGUAUGACUACUGGGCUUGACCCUAGAGUUUUCAUUAUAUUGUUACAAUUGUCACAAAGGCGAUUUGUGUUUGAUGCAAUUAAUCCAGUACAUGCACAUUUUGUAAGGUUACAACUGAGCUAAGAGCGAUAUUAGUAGAGGAAGUUAUUGAACAAUUUGUUUAUCUGUUUCAGAAAUGCAUGUAUUAUAAAAUGCAAUGCAGUUUUAAACAGGUUUGACACUUUUAACUACGACAAUGGAUAGUUCUACGCCAUUAUUACAUAUACAAAAAGUGGUGUAAUGUUAAAUUCAUUUCACUUUAUUAGGUUCAUCUUUAUAAAAUUUAUGUGAUUGUGCUACCAUAAACGAAUACGUUAGACAGCACAUACAAGUGAAUCAUUUCAAGGUAAAUGUAAAUGAAACGGGACUAGUAAUGCUUUUCAAAACGUUCUGAUUUACAGUCUAAUAUGAUAGAAAUUCACGAGAAAAAACUUAAGUUCAUACAAUUAUUUUUCACAAGUAAGCCAUUGAAUAUGAUUUUAUAAUAAGUCGCUCACUGGCCAAUUAGUUUGGUUUUUGUGCGACCAUUUUAUUUGUUAAAUGCCAACUUAACUUACGCCUUGUAUUUAAUCCAAUUUAAUUAAUGUAUGGUGACGUAUGCUUCCAUCAUAAUAAUCUUACAUCAAACGAACCUAAAACACAUUGAAUGUAUUUGUUAAUGAUAGUUAUUUUUCAAGAUCAGGAUUAAUAUAAACUCCUAACUAAUAUUUAUUUUGCUUCGUUAGUGGCUGUGACCAAUGACAGACUGUUCUUUUAUAUUUCAUAUACUAAAUUACAGUAACCUGUUUUGGCAUGUACACUUUUGCUUUGGAAGCCAUGAUAUUCAAUAUAUUUUAGCUGUUUUAUAUAACAAUUCCUGAAUUGGCAUACUUUGUUUGCGAAAACAAAUGAUGUGAAGUAUGCCUUGUAAUACACGAUAGCAUGUCUGUAAUGUUAUUUAACAUAUUAAUCGGAAAAUAAAGUCGUACAUACAAAAUGCG